AGGCCCCCCCUCAAGGUGUGCAAAAUCAUUCAUGUGUGUGGAAUGCUGCACAAUAUUUGCAAGGAUAGGAAUCUUCCUCUUCCUCUGGAUGACGAGCAACCAAUGGGUGCAGAGGCACAAGUCCCAGUGCCAUUAAAUGAUGCUGCAGAAGAACCUGCCAAUGCGCCCGGUGGUCACCGUAAUGAGGGUCGUGCCUAUCGGGAUGCAUUCUGCACCUUGCAUUUCAGCAAUGAGGACUGAUGGAACGUCCUCCAACAGGGCCUCGUGUACCUACCUUGCCUGUUCCUUGGCCCGCAUAGCUGCCUCCUUG